UACGAAGGGGGCUAGCGUUGCUCGGAAUCACUGGGCGUAAAGCGCACGUAGGCGGAUCUUUAAGUCAGGGGUGAAAUCCUGGAGCUCAACUCCAGAACUGCCUUUGAUACUGGGGAUCUCGAGUCCGGAAGAGGUGAGUGGAACUCCGAGUGUAGAGGUGAAAUUCGUAGAUAUCGUAAGGAAGACCAGUGGCGAAGGCGGGUCUCUGGACAGUUCCUGACGCUGAAGCACGAAGGCCAGGGGAGCAAACGGG
rnacentral:rRNA from 1 species